AGAGGAGGUUCCAUUGAAGAGGAGCAGGAGACAAAUAGUUGUCUCCGCCCACCUAUAAACAUUUGAUCCCGCCCACAUUUAGCCCCGCCCCGAUCUCCAGGAGGCAGCCAGGGGCUACUCCCUGGUUCAGACCAGGAAACGCCUUACCGCCAGGUGCGUUAAAACCCUCACAACCCAUGGCUGUGGUGUUUGAUUCUUCAGCGAGAGAUAUCGGAGGUGUGGCGUGAGAGCGUGUGAAGAGAGUCAGAUGCUUGUGUUUCACACUCAGUGUGUGAGAGAUGCAGCCGUACAUAUUAGUAACAAUAUGAAUAGAAACACUAGACAGUGUUCAUCUGCACCAACAGCCUGUGCUCGUGGAUUCAGAUCUAUCAUUCUGGAAUCCAGGGCCACAAAAAUUUCUCUGAGGACCUCAAAUGGCCCACGGAGCAGACUUUGGACCCCCUGAACUUUGAGACCUUGACACGAUCCUUAUCUCUGAUGGCUGGCUGUAACUGGUUUAUGGCUGAGACUUUGGGUUGUUUAUCAGUUCUCAUCAGAUGAAGAAGAAACCCAAACCGGUUGAGACUGGAUCUAAUGUGGACAAAAGAGAAGAAACAAACUAAAGUGUGUGGAUCAGUGGAGAAUCCCAGUCUGUCUAACUGGUUCAUCUCUGGCUCUGACUGACUGAAGAGGAAGAUGGACGUUUAUGCAGAAGAAGAGGAGAACAGAGCAGAACCUUCAGGAUCCAGCUGUCCUCCUAUGAAGAGCAGCUUCUCGCAGCCCAGACCUCCAGACCUCAGUGGAGCAGAACCUCCAGGACCCAGCUGUCUGUCUAUGAAGAGUGACUGGUCCAGGCAUCGUCCUCCAGACCUCAGUGGACCCGGACCUUCAGACACAAAAUGUCAGAACCACAGAUGGAGAGCAGAACCUCCAGGACCCAGCUGUCUGUCUAUGAAGAGUGACCGGUCCAAGCAUCGUCCUCCAGACCUCAGUGGACCUGGACCUUCAGACCCAAAGUAAGAAAACAGUUUCUAACUGGUUCUUGAUGGGGCGACGGUGGCACAGGAGUUAAGUAAUCGGAAGGUUGCAGGUUCGAGUCCCGCUCAGUCUGUCGCUGUCGUUGUGUCCUUGGGCAAGACACUUAACCCACCUUGCCUGCUGGUGGUGGUCGGAGGGACCGGUGGCGCCAGUGCUCGGCAGCCUCGCCUCUGUCAGUGCGCCCCAGGGCAGCUGUGGCUACAUCGUAGCUCAUCCCCACCAGUGUGUGAAUGUGUGUGUGAAUGGGUGAAUGACUGAUUGUGUUGUAAAGCGCCUUGGGGGGUUCCAGGACUCUAGAAGG
rnacentral:lncRNA from 1 species